UUUCUUAGGAAAAGUAAGAGAGAAAAAUGAGGAUGGUUUUGACUUGUUUGUUUGACUUAGGUAACUGUAUCACUCUGUUCUUUUCUUUAAUUGAUUUUCUCUUAACAUGCAAAGGAGAAAAGAAAAAACUUAAAAAUUCCUUUAUAAAUACCUUAAAAUCUUCCCUUGGAUACCCUCAAAAUCAUCUUUUCAUUUUUAACAUUCAA
rnacentral:lncRNA from 1 species